ensembl:lincRNA
GGGUUGCUAGUAGUUCAGUUUGUCAAGAAUCCUAUAAGGGUUUCUUCAAAGAUCCCAGGGAGCCAGAUUCAGUCCGAAUGACUGACUGAGGCUCAGGAAAAAUGCAUCAGUAGUGUAGCUGAGGAAUGCAUAUCAGGGUGGAAACAGAAUGACAUAGUCAUAGUAAAGCAGGACACAAGCCUGAGGUGGUCCUGGGAGGUCCCUGAACAGAACAGCAAAACUGUUUUAUGGGCUUGGUGAAACAAGUGGCAAACAUACAGCAGAACUCUAAAGGCUGUCUUAAAGAAAGAAUACCUGUCCUCACAAUCGCACAAUACACACAGCAGAGACAAUUGCACAUAUACUGUACACAUGUACUGUACACAUAUGUGGACAAAACAGGCACAACUGUACUACUGCAAGCACACACCAGAAACAACUCCACACAGCUGCACACACACCACACCAGUAUUGCCAGGGUUACCUGAAGGAUGACCUCGUGCUUGUCUCCCCACAGCCAGUGGUUGAACAUCCUGCGCAAGGUGAAGGAGUGUUAGCCUGAGGUGGAGUGGUGUCGGUGUUGUUCGUGUUGUGCGCGUUGAGAGGGGACCUGCACUAAGCCUGACUGUGUUACUCUGCCACUCAGAGCACGUCCUCCCCCCGUUCUCCUCUGUACUCCUGCAAGCGCCACAUGACUUCACCCCCGCAGCUGAGCGACAGGGGAGCCCUCGGCCAGGCCGCCUCCCAGAAGGAGCAGGGCUCUGUCUCUCCUCGUGCUGUGAGUGGAGGGACCUCUCCCCGCUCGGCCAGGUGUCUGCGUCACGGCUCAGGCGUUGAGUCCCGGCGCGCCGUGCGCGCGGUCUGCCUCCUCAUGGGGGGGGCAGCUGCUUCCUCUGCACUGGGGUACCUGGGAUCCUGUAACCCCCCAGCCACCACGGCCGCAGGCCAUACCCCUGAAAUCCAGCCACCUGCUGAAUUGAGGGAGCUGGGGUACCACCCUGCCGUACUCUCACCCGACCCUGAGGCAUCACACUUCACCACCUUUGAGUUUGAGGGCGACCAGGACUUUGAUGCCUUCGACUGCGGGGGGUUUGCAUUCUAAAGGUGCUCGAUGUGUUCACUUGCAAGUAAGGGUCCAUUUGUCAUUGAAAAACCAUGUAUUCUGACAGGCUAUUCUAAGUAAAUUAAGAUAGUCUGAAUACAGUAACUGACUAUUUUGGAUAGCUGUAUUCUAAACUGGUACUGCAUAUUGUGUUAAAAUUAUUUGAAUGCCUCGGGCACUAUCCAGAAUAACAAUAUGAUGAUGAUGUAAUGCCUGGUGCAGUUCUCGUAGCUGGGGUAUAACUGAAAAAACCCUGUAUUUUUUUACAUUUUGUCAGUCCACAUUGUACAAGCUUAACUUUAAAAUCAUUGGAAUGGCCAAAUGCAGCUUGGAAUUGACAAAUGCAAAGGCAAAGCCUUAAAAUAUUGGACAGAGAAUGACUUUGUUCUCCCUGGACAUGAUUGUCCUGCUGAUAAUUUAAAAAAAAAGGAAAGACAGGGUUGUUAGUGACCAAAUGGAUUACCUUUUUUUUUGGGGUGUUGCUAUGGUUUCUAUGUACCUGUAUGGAAUGUUUCUGGGAGUUCUGGGAGUGAUUGCUGUGCAAGUUACUCACUGCUGAACUCCAAUAAAGCCCUCAACAGCUCUUAAAAAGCAAAUGACAUGUUAAGGCUGAAUACAUCUUGAACAGCUGUUAUUACAUUCCUGUAUUCCUGUGAUCAAAUGUAUUCAAAAUUUCAACCAGGUAGAUUUCUAAUA